rnacentral:lncRNA from 1 species
AUGCCCUCUCCUGUGGAGCACUACUGUCUUUCAGAAGAAGAUUGUGAGACAAGCCAUGGGCUAGGUGGUCAGACAAGUUUAUGUGACUGCGACCCACUCUUGUACCAGAUCCAUGAGGACUGUCACUUGGGGAGGCAUUGUUCAGUUCUGGAAGUGUGCUUGCUUUGUAACCAUUGUCAUCUGGGAUUGAUGGAGCCCAUGGGGAAUACAGAGCUAUCUCAGCAGGUAGAAAGGCCAAGGGUGGCCACGCUUACUGAUCUGAUCAUCCUAACAAGUCCUUUGCUGUCCUGGAAAGUAUCUAGGCUCACUGACCUGGCUCUCUGUGCUCACCACCGCACCUGGGUGGAUUAACUUCAAUGGUCAUCUCUCUGUCCAAGGGACACCUAGACUGGGCACAGCAGUGGUUCUGCCCUGUGGCCCUCACAGACUGUCUACACCAGCCAUGUCACUCUUCCUGAACGAUUGUGAGUCUGCCACCUGCUCUCAGUGCUCUGUGUCUGUCUCACCAGUGCUGCUUUCCCUGGGAUAGCCUUUCUUCCCUGCUUACCACCAGCCUAGAGCAGGUGCCUCCCAGGUGGAAAAAGUCACCACAACCUCUAAGAUUUGGAAGCACUUACCAUAUUCUUGUGCUGUCUAAAAAAUUGUAAGUUGUUGAAAACCUGCCCCACCCUUUCUCCCCCAACCCCUGAAAAUUAUAAGCUGAUUGAAAACAGGGAGCAAUUAUGUCUCUAGGUGAGCCCAUGUGCCAAGGAUAGCGCCUGGCAGACCACUGCCUGAUAAAUGUCUUUCUGAUGAAUGGUAUAGUGGGAAAGACAUCGAUCAGGGAGGAAGGAAACAGGGUUUUUGUAUUUACUCUGUUACCAUCUGGCUGGAUGACCUCAGCGAGGUUAAUUCCACCUCUGGAACCUCAUUUUCCUCUCAUUUAUAGGGGGCUUUAUGCCUGAAUGAUUUCUAGGAUGCCUUCCGUUUCUGGCAUCCUGUGCUUCUGUGUAAGGAAAGGAGAAGAUGGCUGUGUGUCCAUUGUCAUGAGCCUGUGUGUCUUGCUGUGUUUGGGCACAGGGCCUCCCUGUACUGGCCCAGCAGCCCAGUUGCUCAGCUGUAAUUUUCACUGGCAGCACUGAGACCCACAGAAUCCCUGAUUUGGUGGUGUAGAAAGGCUACCCCCAUCCUUCCUUCCUUGUGUUCUGAGGAGGGGACAGACUGGAGGCACUCUUACGGUUUUGUGCUGGCUUUGUGCCUUGUAUGAUGUGAGGUGUUGGGGGCUAUGCCUCUGGCUUUUGCACUCUGUAACAUGCUACUCCUAGAAACCUAGGAGCGGGGCCACACUCCCUGAGGGGUGACACCAGAAGGGAAGGGCUAGGAGAAGGAUGAGUCUUCCUCAGCCUUGGCCACAGAGCAUCAGCAUGUCUGGGCUCCUGGACACCCUGGGAUUAGAUGAGAGACAAGAGGGUAGGCCAAUGAUGGAGAGUGCCUUCCUGGGACAGGAAGUGACAGAGGCAGCGGCAUGCUGGGAAGCCAGACUCCUGGCACAGGUCUUUCCAUCUCUGGGUUCCUUUCUCUACCCAUCCUUGGUUGUGCAUGCAGGCUGGGAGCCUCUGCUGAGGGCACAGAGUCACUAAGGAGCCUCUCCCUGGUGCAUGAACACCUCUGUGGGCAUUUUGUUUGGUGACCUCAGUUUUCUCCUCUGUCCCACACUGCCCUACCUCCAUGGCUGAGCUGGGGAUAGCUCUUCACCUCCACAGUGGGUGUUGCUUAUAAAUAGAAAGAUACUUAACACUGACCCUGGGCUCUGUCAGGGAGGGUGGCUCUGAGUAGCACUGUUUUAAAAAUGAGCAUUGAUUUCUGGGAAUCUGCACACUGCAUAUUAAAGAGACACACGCUGGUGCCCAAGGCCCCUAGGCUCUGCAUCCUUCUCCUUUUCUUCCUUUUGAAUGUGUGCUGGCUGACCUGCCUCUCAGGGGUCUGAAGAGCUGUGGGCUGGGGUUUAUCCCAGCUUUCACCUUUGGGUGUUUCCUGCUGGAGUGCUUCUUACGGGCAUCUGUCCACUGGAUUGUUCAUUUGUUCCUGUGUCACCUGUCAUGAACCUGGCAUUGCGGUGGGUCUGGGAUUGCAAAAUCACCCUGCGCCCUUUCCUCUUCAGUCUCAGCACCAAUACUCGCAGAGCAGUGUGCAGUGAGAACCUUCUUUGGGAGCUCAGUGGGUGGAGGACAGAGUGUCCAGUGUUGUCCAAGGUGGGCCACAAAGAGGCUACCCAGGGAAUUGAGAGUGCCCGGAGCAGGCUGCAUUCCUCACAGGGAACAGAAGGUGAAACCCUGUGAGGAAGCCUGGCCUCCUAGCUGUGUAUCAGCAGCUGGUGCGUACCCAGCAUUUCGUGGGCCCUGUUUGAGCGUAUGCCAGGAAUAGCAGUGCUUGCCCCUCUCUAUUAGCAUUCUGUGAUCUUAGGGGGUGCCAGUCAGUGUCUGUUGAUUGGCUGAAAUAUUUUGUUUCUUAUUAUUAGACUAGAGGAAGAGGAUGGGGGAGGAGUGUGGGGGAAAGGGAGAGUAAUGGGGGUGAUAUCAAAAU